UACGUAGGGUGCGAGCGUUAAUCGGAAUUACUGGGCGUAAAGCGUGCGCAGGCGGUUCGUUAAGUCAGCUGUGAAAGCCCCGGGCUCAACCUGGGAACGGCGGUUGAAACUGGCGAACUAGAAUCUGGCAGAGGGGGGGGUGGAAUUCCACGUGUAGCAGUGAAAUGCGUAGAGAUGUGGAGGAACACCCGUGGCGAAGGCGGCCCUCUGGCUCGACCCUGACGCUGAGGCGCGAAAGCGUGGGGGGAGCGAACGGG
rnacentral:rRNA from 1 species